rnacentral:rRNA from 1 species
AGUGAACGCUGGCGGCAGGCCUAAUACGUGCAAGUCGAACGGCAGCACAGCAGAGCUUGCUCUGUGGGUGGCGAGUGGCGGACGGGUGAGGAAUACGUGGGAAUCUGCCCAGUCGUGGGGGAUAACGUAGGGAAACUUACGCUAAUACCGCAUGCGCCCUUCGGGGAAAGCCGGGGACCUUCGGGCCUGGCGCGAUUGGAUGAGCCCACGUCGGAUUAGCUAGUUGGCGGGGUAAAGGCCCACCAAGGCGACGAUCCGUAGCUGGUCUGAGAGGAUGAUCAGCCACACUGGAACUGAGACACGGUCCAGACUCCUACGGGAGGCAGCAGUAGGGAAUAUUGGACAAUGGGCGCAAGCCUGAUCCAGCCAUGCCGCGUGAGUGAAGAAGGCCCUCGGGUUGUAAAGCUCUUUUGUCCGGAAAGAAAAGCGCCGGGUUAAUACCCUGGUGUCCUGACGGUACCGGAAGAUAAGCACCGGCUAACUUCGUGCCAGCAGCCGCGGUAU